rnacentral:rRNA from 1 species
CAGUAGCCGCGGGAAUACGAAGGGGGCUAGCGUUGUUCGGAUUUACUGGGCGUAAAGGGUGCGUAGGCGGAUUGUUAAGUCAGGGGUGAAAGCCCGGGGCUCAACCUCGGAAUUGCCUUCGAUACUGGCUGUCUUGAGUAUGAGAGAGGUGUGUGGAACUCCGAGUGUAGAGGUGAAAUUCGUAGAUAUUCGGAAGAACACCAGUGGCGAAGGCGACACACUGGCUCAUUACUGACGCUGAGGCGCGAAAGCGUGGGGAGCAAACAGGAUUAGAUACCCCCGUAGUCCCUGUCUCUUAUAC